GGAGAGCAAUGCUGAGCUGGGUGUUUGCAGCAAGGAUGUAAAAGCUGUGCCUUAACUGGUUGGUUUUAUGGUCUUCACUACAACGCAUUCAGCUGUAACUCUUCUCCAUCAGAGCCAUCUUACUCCGAAUGAUUUUUCGCUAUUGCAUACUGAAAAGUAGUGGAAAAGACGGCCAUUCAUUUAAACGGAUAUGCUGGCGUAAAUGCAGGAAGUGUUUGAAGAGCUGCAUCUGCCUCAAUUUCACUCCGUGUCUUUCCCGUUUACCUCACUCUUGGGACAUUGUGAUUGGGAGACUUUGUAAGUUUGUCAGUAUUUCAAUAAAU